UCUAGCGAGAUUCCUAUUCAUCGGUCUGUCCGACGUAUGUCGAACGUGACCGACUGAAUGGGAACUGCUAGUUUCAGUGCUUCAGAUUUAUCAUGGAUUCACUGCAUUCACAUACAAGAAUCAAAAUGCUGAAAAUCACUUCAACAGUUUAAACUAAAACACUUUAUACUCAAUAUCUCACAAUGAGUCUGAGUUCACAUUAUAUUUGUGUAAAAUUCUUCACAUUAAUGAUUUGUUUGUAAGAUGAUCUCUUCCUCUGUUUGUGUCUUUCUAGUCUACAGAAAUGUGGCAUUACAGAUGUUUCUUCUUUAACUCAGUCUUUGACUAACUCAAAAGCACUGCAGUUUUUAAAAGUUCUUGAUCUGAGGAAGAAUAAGAUAGGAGACUCAAAGCAGCGGCUCCGUGACGUGUUACGAGACUCAAACUGUGUCCUGAGAUGAAGAUCUGUGAAAUCAUCAUGAGAGGAUCAGAAAUCAUCAGGUGAUCCACAGAAGAGUCUCUACUGUGUCUAUGAGGAGAAAUAAAUGUGAUUAAUGUGUAAAUGUGUUUCAUACAGAUGGAAGAGACUCUUUACAGUUAAAUAAAGCAGCAUGUGUGUCAGCAUGAGUAUCAGAAACAUGUGAUAUUUAAUGAUUAAUGUUGCUUUAGUAUUCAAUCAAAUGAUGGUUUAGUUUUAUUUAAAGGUGGAACAGGAGGAAGAAGCUCAGAUGAGUCUGUCAGCAGAAAUCUUCAGUAUCAGGCCUACAAAUAUAAUAAUAAUUGGAUUGAACUCAUCCAUAAUGAUUAAAAAGUCAUGGACACAUAAAUGGAGGAAAAGACUACAAUACAAUAACAGAUAUUCUGAUUGAAGUAAAUCUGUUAAACGCUUUUUAGACACUUUUUAGAAUUAAAUGAAUUACCUAGAAAUUGUAAGUAAAAUCCCUGUAGAAGUGUUUUAAGUGUUUGGGAACAGAUAUGGAUCUCAAACUGAAGUCUUUUGUAUCAAGCAGUUGUUGAAGGUGGAGUUUUGAGGAUUCAUCAGAGAGAAAACAGAAACAAUAACUUCAUGUACUGUAAAAAGAAAGAAACUUCAGUUCACUGUUGUAAAACUAUUAUAAAACUUCAUAUUCUUACUGUUCAUGCUCACUGGAGAAGCAUUGUGUCUGUGGAAUACCCAUAAUCCCUUGCUCUUUAAUAAUUUUGUGUUUGGUCAAAGCAAAGAUCUGGACUGUAAAUGGUAUUUUGAAUUAGCAGAUCUUUGAGCUUCAAUUGUUGUUUAAUUAAAGAUUUUGUUGUAAA